rnacentral:rRNA from 1 species
UACGUAGGGUGCAAGCGUUGUCCGGAAUUAUUGGGCGUAAAGAGCUCGUAGGCGGUUUGUCGCGUCUGCUGUGAAAACGCGGGGCUCAACUCCGCGCCUGCAGUGGGUACGGGCAGACUAGAGUGCAGUAGGGGAGACUGGAAUUCCUGGUGUAGCGGUGGAAUGCGCAGAUAUCAGGAGGAACACCGGUGGCGAAGGCGGUUAGCUGGGCAGUUGCUGACACUGAGGCGCGACAGCGUGGGGAGCAAACAGG